GGGCAGCAGCGCAGCAGGCGCGCCAGGCAGUCGUCGGUAACGUGGCCGCAGCCCGAGAGCGUGACGGACGCCAGGUUGGGGCACCUGUGAGGAGAGUGCGGUGACCCGGGGCUCACUGGCUUGUUAAAGCUACCCAACCGCCCCAUGGGACCGAGUGGACUCAUUUACCGAGGAGGACUCGGGCCCUGCGAGGUGAAGACACUUGGCUGCGAUGACACUGCAGGGUUCCAAGUCGGCUUUCUGGCCGGCCCAUUUUCCCUCCUCUUUCUGCCCCUGCACCCCACCGUACCUUCAUCUGCGUGGGUUCUUGGCUCGUAGCCUUGGGAGCCCCUAGUGGGAAGCCCCGACCCCGGCCCAGCAGAGUCCUGGGGCGGCUGUGGACAGAGGGAAUGCCGGUUCCAGGAGCCACAACCCUUGACUCUUUGUUUCGCUCUGGAUGUGCUGCCUUGCAGGGGAGCGGUGCUUGGCGAUUGCUCCAGUCUAGCUUCAAGCUGAGGCCCCUGAAUGUCCCGGCGGGACGUGAGUGGGAAGAGGGAUUUGUUUCCUUGGAGGUGGCCUAGUGACAGGCCCAUCCCAACCCUCAAGGCGGUGGGGGCACGCGUUAGCAUUGAGUCCGGGUUCAGCUUAGUAGACUAGAGCUGUUCCUGCAUCCCCUGGGCCACCAGCCUGGAAAAGGGUAGGGUUCGGAGGCAGCUAGAGGCAAGCCCUGAGCAGGUACAGUCACGGACACCCACCCAGGUCGCUUGGCCAGAAAGCUUGGGGGACCCUCUGCUGCAGCCUCACCAGCCCCUCCCAGCAAAGAAAAGAUCUUGAGCCAAGUUAGACUUGGUUUAUCGCCGUGUCAGUCACUCACGGAGCCUUCAUUUCCUCUGCGUGGGGGGAAUAAUGUCUACCACUGGGGUUGUGAGGAGCCUGCAACGGGGCCUUCCACAGGCAGUCCUAACCCGCUUUCCCUGGAAACAAACGGGACCAGCCUGCUUCCAGUCCAGAAGGACCGACUAAUGGGCCGGGGCCUUGGCUCCCCGCAGCCAGAGGGAGCUAGAGUCUGGGCUGGGGAAGCGUUUCCCUUUCCCUGCCAGCCUCCCCCGCAGCUCCGUGACUGCCCCUGGCUGUGCCAGCUCGGCUCCUUUGUGCCAGGGGAGGGAAGUAAGGAACUUAAAUAUGUUGGGUGCAGCCAGGUGUCACACCGAGCCCGGGCCUCCUUCAGGUUUGUGUGCCCUCAUUAGUCACCCCGUCAACCUCUGCACCCCCAGUUUUGUACAUGAAGAAACUGGCUCCGGCAGCUCAGGUGACUGGCUGGUGACUUAUUUGCUGUCAGACCCAGGACAGAUGUCUGAACCUUGCUGGGCGUCACUUCCUCAUUUGUCAAGUGGGAGGAAUUGUUACCUUCAAGGUGGUUAUAAGGAUUAGGUGUUUAAGCCUCAAAGGUGUUGGGUGAUCUUUUCUUCUAAGAAUCUUUGGAAUAAUUCUGAUACAGGGAAAAAACAAAGAGCGGACUGUCCCCCUGCCCAGCCAUCCUCAGCCAUUCCUCCCGACCUGAGCUGAGUGCCAGAAGAACCAGAUUCAGUAGACGUUCAUCAGUACCUACUAUGUGCCAGGUCACUUCAUCCUGGCCCAGGUACUGCAGCUCCAAAUCGUGGGGAUUCUGUAAGAGCUUGCUACCUGUUGACUGAGGAGGCCCACGAGUUGAGAAGAACUAGCAAGAGUGGUACAAAACUGCAGGUCAUUGGGCUGGCCACCAGGUAUUCCCACCCACCAGAAGCUGGCUGUUGUACUCACCCGGAACCAUGGUGCACCACCACAGCGGCGAGGUCAUACAGGCAGCUCUCCGGGCCACUGUUCUCAGGCUACAGAACAAGGAAGAAGGAGCAGUGGUCAAUGACAUCAGUAUCUCGAUGACCUCUACCCUCUCCAUGUGAUGACAAUCUUACUGAAGAGCCAUUUUUUCACCAUGCUAAAAAGGGAAGAGGAGCACAGCAGUAACGCUGAUGGGAAGAAGGUGCUGACAGAUGGACUCACUGGGGUCACGGCAACAAUCGACAGUACAGGUGAAAGAAUAAACUCCAGCUGCCCUCAACACCUAGGGCAUGGAGACCUCCCUGACUGCUUCGUCAGGCCUACUGGGGCCCACACGUAUUUGAAGUUAACCGAGGAGCUCUACUUCCUUGGAAAUCCCCAUUGCUCCUCCAGCAGAGGUGGGCUGGACACUGCUCCUGGCAAAGCUGGCCGGGAAGAUGCAGCCCGUGGGACACUCCCCACCACCACUCUCACAGUCUGACUGACUGCGAAGCUUCACAGACCAGAAGGUUCAUUCCUCACAAGAAAAGGAAAACCCUGGUCUGAUACUACUGUUCUGAAAUUUAACAGUAAGUCUCCAUAUGCUAUUUCUUUCUUAAUUUCAAUAAAGA
ensembl:lncRNA USP3-AS1 USP3 antisense RNA 1